rnacentral:rRNA from 1 species
CGCGGGUAACCUGCCUUAUAGUGGGGGAUAGCCUUUCGAAAGGAAGAUUAAUACCGCAUAAGAUUGUAGUAUCGCAUGAUAUAGCAAUUAAAGGAGCAAUUCGCUAUAAGAUGGACCCGCGUCGCAUUAGCUAGUUGGUGAGGUAAUGGCUCACCAAGGCGACGAUGCGUAGCCGACCUGAGAGGGUGAUCGGCCACAUUGGGACUGAGACACGGCCCAGACUCCUACGGGAGGCAGCAUG